AGGGUUUGAUUCUGGCUCAGGAUGAACGCUGGCGGCGUGCCUAACACAUGCAAGUCGAGCGAAGCGCUGUUUUCAGAAUCUUCGGAGGAAGAGGACAGUGACUGAGCGGCGGACGGGUGAGUAACGCGUGGGCAACCUGCCUCAUACAGGGGGAUAACAGUUAGAAAUGACUGCUAAUACCGCAUAAGCGCACAGGACCGCAUGGUGUAGUGUGAAAAACUCCGGUGGUAUGAGAUGGACCCGCGUCUGAUUAGGUAGUUGGUGGGGUAAAGGCCUACCAAGCCGACGAUCAGUAGCCGACCUGAGAGGGUGACCGGCCACAUUGGGACUGAGACACGGCCCAA
rnacentral:rRNA from 1 species